rnacentral:lncRNA from 1 species
AAUUAACUAAUAAAUAUAAACGUUUUAAAAUUACAAUAACUCAAUGUUUUUGAUGCAUGACUUCCAAGCCACACUUAUGGCCGUUGGAUCGGUUUUAUUAAUUGGCUUGGAUUUAUCCCUCCUAUUCAUGUUAAUUGCAAUAGCUUAUGCAAUGCUUCCUCUUUUUGGGUCCUGCUGUUCAUAUAGGAGUCUAGACUCAUUCCACUUUAUAGAUAUAUCUGUUAAUCGGGCCCUUUGGGCUAACGCUGUGGAGGUUGCUCCAUUCGCAAUGUCCCUCUGAUGUUCCUUCAAUCGUUUAUUCAAAGAUCUUGAGGUAUAU